UACGUAGGGUGCAAGCGUUGUCCGGAAUUAUUGGGCGUAAAGAGCUCGUAGGCGGUCUGUCGCGUCGGCUGUGAAAACCCGGAGCUCAACUCCGGGCCUGCAGUCGAUACGGGCAGACUGGAGUUCGGCAGGGGAGACUGGAAUUCCGGGUGUAGUGGUGAAAUGCGUAGAUAUCCGGAGGAAUACCAGUGGCGAAGGCGGCACGCUGGGCCAUAACUGACGCUAAGACGCGAAAGCAUGGGUAGCGAACGGG
rnacentral:rRNA from 1 species